rnacentral:ncRNA from 2 species
AUGCAUUUGCGGGGGGACACAGCAGUGUUGAGAAGGUUAAAACCUGACCCUUAGAACCUGACCGUUAAUACGGACGUAGGGAGCAAAGUACAAGUUAUA